rnacentral:lncRNA from 1 species
AUGCAUUUAUGUAUGUAUAUUUGUAUGUACUUUAACUUUCUGCCUCUAUGUUUACGUCUACUGAGUUUUAAUAUGGUGGGUCUGUUUGAAAGGAUGAAAAACUCAAAGGGAGGGGAUAAAACAAAGGGAGAGUGGGUGCUGGAAUGGGAGAUGGAUGCACUGGGAAGCACAAAGGCUGAGACAGAUGGCCAACUGACUCUUCCACACAAACUACAGCUUGUCUGUGGGUGUGGGUGCAUUGUUAGCUGUGUUAGAGUGCACUAUCCUGAACCUGCCUCCCUGUGUGUGUCUGUACAGAUGAGGACAGUGAGAUGGACAGGCAGAAGCACAGCGCUGAGGAAAAUCAGCAGGACGAACUCGGACAAAAGAAGCCCCGCAGGAAAGACACGCCUGUGCUCAACUCUCCUCCACUUAUACCAGGGGUGAGAUUAAUGAAAGGGGAAGCCCGUCUGAUUCACAUGGAGGACGAAGAAAAGGAGGCAAAGAAAUAGCUGUAUUUUUACACCAUGGCGUACGCACUGAUUGUUGUUGUUGUUUGUUUCCCAUUGUUUUAAUAGCUUGCAUGUGUUAAAGCCUGUCUGAACCUUUCUCAAAUGUCUCAAAUGUUGUGCUUCAUUUUCCACGUGUCAGAGAUUUACAAUAUAUAAAUACACAUUUCUGC